rnacentral:rRNA from 1 species
AUUGAACGCUGGCGGCGUGCUUAACACAUGCAAGUCGAGCGGUAAGGCCCUUUCGGGGGUACACGAGCGGCGAACGGGUGAGUAACACGUGGGUGACCUGCCCUCAGCUCUGGGAUAAGCCUGGGAAACUGGGUCUAAUACUGGAUAUGACUCCACGGUGCAUGUCGUGGGGUGGAAAGCCUUGUGCGGCUGAGGAUGGGCCCGCGGCCUAUCAGCUUGUUGGUGGGGUGAUGGCCUACCAAGGCGACGACGGGUAGCCGGCCUGAGAGGGCGACCGGCCACACUGGGACUGAGACACGGCCCAGACUCCUACGGGAGGCAGCAGUGGGGAAUCUUGCGCAAUGGGCGAAAGCCUGACGCAGCGACGCCGCGUGAGGGAUGACGGCCUCGGUGUAACCC